rnacentral:sRNA from 2 species
UUCGAAGGCCGCUAGGGUUCCGGCCGGGCAAAUGCCCGGCGCUGGUCCGAGAGCGGCGGUCAUGCGGGAGACAUCCGCAUGAUGCACGGCGGGACAAAAGCCCGGGAGAG